GACGAACGCUGGCGGCGCGCCUAACACAUGCAAGUCGAGCGAUAAAAUCGUAACCGGUCUCGUCGGAGUGCAGAUAAAAUGGAAUAGCGCCCGUCGGUUGAGUAACACGUGCGGAACCGGCCUUUCACAACGGGAAAGCCCCGCGAACCAGGGAUUAAUAGCCUAUGACACAGUUCCCUCGCAUGUAACUAGUGGUAAAGCUCAUGGGGUGACAGGUGGGCCCGCGCCAGAUUAGCUAGUUGGUAGGGUAACAGCCCACCAAGGCCACGAUCCAUAGCAGGGCUGAGAGGAUGAUCGGCCACAUUGGGACUGAGACACGGUCCAGACUCCUACGGGAGGCAGCAGUGGGGAAUAUUGGACAAUGGGCGAAAGCCUGAUCCAGCGAUGCCGCGUGAGUGAUGAAGGCCUUCGGGUUGUAAAGCUCUGUUACACGGGAAGAUAAUGACGGUACCGGAGGAAGAAGCCCCGGCUAACUCCGUG
rnacentral:rRNA from 1 species